GAUGAACGCUGGCGGCGUGCCUAAUACAUGCAAGUCGAGCGAACGGACGAGAAGCUUGCUUCUCUGAUGUUAGCGCCGGACGGGUGAGUAACACGUGGAUAACCUACCUAUAAGACUGGGAUAACUUCGGGAAACCGGAGCUAAUACCGGAUGAUAUUUUGAACCGCAUGGUUCAAAAGUGAAAGACGGUCUUGCUGUCACUUAUAGAUGGAUCCGCGCUGCAUUAGCUAGUUGGUAAGGUAACGGCUUACCAAGGCAACGAUGCAUAGCCGACCUGAGAGGGUGAUCGGCCACACUGGAACUGAGACACGGUCCAGACUCCUACGGGAGGCAGCAGUAGGGAAUCUUCCGCGAUGGGCGAAAGCCUGACGGAGCAACGCCGCGUGAGUGAUGAAGGUCUUCGGAUCGUAAAACUCUGUUAUUAGGGAAGAACAUAUGUGUAAGUAACUGUGCACAUCUUGACGGUACCUAAUCAGAAAGCCACGGCUAACUACGUG
rnacentral:rRNA from 1 species